GAUGAACGCUAGCGAUAGGCUUAACACAUGCAAGUCGAGGGGCAGCACAAGGUAGCUUGCUAUCUGGGUGGCGACCGGCGCACGGGUGCGUAACGCGUAUGCAACUUGCCCUAUACAGGAGGAUAACCCGUCGAAAGACGGACUAAUACUGCGUAUGCUCACAACUUGGCAUCAAGUGGUGAGGAAAGAAAUUCGGUAUAGGAUAGGCAUGCGUCCCAUUAGCUUGUUGGUGAGGUAACGGCUCACCAAGGCAACGAUGGGUAGGGGAACUGAGAGGUUUAUCCCCCACACUGGUACUGAGACACGGACCAGACUCCUACGGGAGGCAACAGUGAGGAAUAUUGGUCAAUGGGCGCGAGCCUGAACCAGCCAAGUCGCGUGAAGGAUGACUGUCUUAUGGAUUGGAAACUUCUUUUAUACGGGAAUAACAAGAGUCACGUGUGACUCCCUGCAUGUACCGUAGGAAUAAGCAUCGGCUAACUCCGU
rnacentral:rRNA from 1 species